AGUGAACGCUGGCGGUAGGCCUAACACAUGCAAGUCGAACGGCAGCACAGUAAGAGCUUGCUCUUACGGGUGGCGAGUGGCGGACGGGUGAGGAAUACAUCGGAAUCUACUUUUUCGUGGGGGAUAACGUAGGGAAACUUACGCUAAUACCGCAUACGACCUACGGGUGAAAGCAGGGGAUCUUCGUACCUUGCGCGAUUGAAUGAGCCGAUGUCGGAUUAGCUAGUUGGCGGGGUAAAGGCCCACCAAGGCGACGAUCCGUAGCUGGUCUGAGAGGAUGAUCAGCCACACUGGAACUGAGACACGGUCCAGACUCCUACGGGAGGCAGCAGUGGGGAAUAUUGGACAAUUGGCGCAAGCCUGAUCCAGCCAUACCGCGUGGGUGAAGAAGGCCUUCGGGUUGUAAAGCCCUUUUGUUGGGAAAGAAAAGCAGCAGGUUAAUACCCCGCUGUUCUGACGGUACCCAAAGAAUAAGCACCGGCUAACUUCGUG
rnacentral:rRNA from 1 species